rnacentral:rRNA from 1 species
UGCCAGCAGCCGCGGUAAUACGAACCGGGCAAACGUUAUUCGGAAUCACUGGGCUUAAAGGGUGCGUAGGCGGCGCUAUCAGUCGGGUGUGAAAUCCCACGGCUCAACCGUGGAACUGCGCCCGAUACUGUAGUGCUUGAGGGAGAUAGAGGUGGGCGGAACGAAUGGCGGAGCGGUGAAAUGCGUUGAUAUCAUUCGGAACACCCGUGGCGAAAGCGGCUCACUGGGUCUCUUCUGACGCUGAGGCACGAAAGCUCGGGGAGCGAACGGGAUUAGAUA